rnacentral:rRNA from 1 species
GCAAGUCGAGGGGCAGCAUGGUCUUAGCUUGCUAAGGCCGAUGGCGACCGGCGCACGGGUGAGUAACACGUAUCCAACCUGCCGUCUACUCUUGGACAGCCUUCUGAAAGGAAGAUUAAUACAAGAUGGCAUCAUGAGUCCGCAUGUUCACAUGAUUAAAGGUAUUCCGGUAGACGAUGGGGAUGCGUUCCAUUAGAUAGUAGGCGGGGUAACGGCCCACCUAGUCUUCGAUGGAUAGGGGUUCUGAGAGGAAGGUCCCCCACAUUGGAACUGAGACACGGUCCAAACUCCUACGGGAGGCAGCAGUGAGGAAUAUUGGUCAAUGGGCGAGAGCCUGAACCAGCCAAGUAGCGUGAAGGAUGACUGCCCUAUGGGUUGUAAACUUCUUUUAUAAAGGAAUAAAGUCGGGUAUGGAUACCCGUUUGCAUGUACUUUAUGAAUAAGGAUCGGCUAACUCCGUGCCAGCAGCCGCGGUAAUACGGAGGAUCCGAGCGUUAUCCGGAUUUAUUGGGUUUAAAGGGAGCGUAGAUGGAUGUUUAAGUCAGUUGUGAAAGUUUGCGGCUCAACCGUAAAAUUGCAGUUGAUACUGGAUAUCUUGAGUGCAGUUGAGGCAGGCGGAAUUCGUGGUGUAGCGGUGAAAUGCUUAGAUAUCACGAAGAACUCCGAUUGCGAAGGCAGCCUGCUAAGCUGCAACUGACAUUGAGGCUCGAAAGUGUGGGUAUCAAACAGG